AAUACGACUCUCGGCAACGGAUAUCUCGGCUCUCGCAUCGAU
rnacentral:rRNA from 1 species